rnacentral:tRNA from 1 species
UGUAGCUCAGUGGUAGAGCACCUGCCUAGCAUGAGGCUCUGGGUUAGAACCCAGCA